rnacentral:lncRNA from 1 species
CCAAAGAAAACACUGUUUAAUAACUGUUAAAGUUUAUAUAGCAAAAAAUAGUUUAAAUUUAAGAUUAAGUCAAGCAAAAUGUACAAAGACCCAAUAUACAGCAUGAAGUGUGGCAAACGUAACACUUACACAUUUUGGUUCCAUUCUGUAAACUAAAUUAAGGACGUAAAUAUUGCAUAUGCCUGCUCUUCUUGAAAUGUACAGGAUGGGGGAGGGGGAGUUUAGUGUAUUCUCCAUUUCUCUUUUUUGCUCAUGUCAGCUGCAUCAGGGACACGUGGCAUCUGUGUCCUGUGGUGACCGUUCCCAGCAUGGAGGGUGUGUCACAUCUGCCUCAGUGUGCUGCAGUCAGCAGAUCGGCCCUACUGUCCCUGGGGGAUUCAGUUACACAGCAAACACAGUGCAGGUUCCUCGUCAACACUGUGUAAGGUUUCAGGAGACCCUUUAACAUCUCUAAGUAUAGCACACACCCGAACAGACUUCCGCCCUAGUGCUGUGUGGCCUGUGGACCGCUAGGAUGUGUAGCUGCAGGAAGGGAAACCUUGAGAGUUCUCGCAGGGUGGGGGUCAAUUUACAUUCAACUGUGUCUUACAAUACAACCUUCUUCUACAAGCUCAGCAAUGGAAGCAGGAAGACAGCUGCAUUGCCAUUAAAUAUAUUUUUUUAAGACAUGGAAUUUUUUUGGUCGUCCUCUAAAAGCCCCUUCUUACCUUACCAAUGCAUUACUCUAUAGUGAUAUAUAUCUAUAUAUUUAUAUAUAUAUAUAUAUAUUCUCCCAAAUAAAAACAAAACAA